GCAGGGCCAUGAAUCUCAUCCUCCUCAGGAGAACCGUGACUCCGGGUAACAAACAUGACAUUGUGGAUGGCUUUCCACAAAUGGGUUUCCCUAACUGCGGAGGGGCGAUAGAUGGCACGCAUAUUCCAAUUCUGGCACUCGCCCACAUAGCCUC